rnacentral:lncRNA from 13 species
CUACCGUCCCCACCCACCAGUGUCCUGGCCUCAGAUAUCCGAACAGCCAUUCUGAGCCUGCCCAUCAGAUAAAGGGUAUUCUUACAUCAUGUCUCUCUUGGCCCCCAGCACUGAUGGUGCCAGCUGUUAGCCAACCGUAGGGAUGAAUUUCAAAACAACAAGCACAGAAGUAGAAGGGUGCUGGAGGGGCAGAUAUGUUUUUCCUCUGACUAUCCUAAACCCUCCCACAAAGCCCCUCGCUUCCCAGGCCAUGUUUUUGUGGUGAAGAUUGACCACGGACCAGCAUCUGCAGGCAGACAUUCAAUCAAUCUAGCCCUGGGCUACAGGAUCAAACACAGGACACCCUGUUCAACUGGAAUUUCAGAUAGAGUCUCACUCUCAUAUAGGCUGGAGUGCAGUGACAUGGUCUCAGCUCACUGCAACCUCCACCUCCUGGAUUCAAGUGAUUCUCCUGCCUCAGCCUCCCGAGUACCUGGGAUCACAGGUAUGCAACACCAUACGGCUAAUUUUUGUAUAUAUAGUAAAGAUGGGGUUUCACCAGGUUGGCCAGGCUGGUCUUGAACCUCAAGUGAUCUGUCUACCUUGGCCUCCCAAAUUGCUGGGAUUACAGGCAUGAUCCACCGUGCCUGGCCAGGAUUGUUUAUCUUGUUACUCUUCAUUUGUACUUCUUUAUAUGUUCUGGAAAUAAACCCUUUGUCACACACA